CAGCAGCCGCGGGAAUACGAAGGUCCCGAGCGUUGUUCGGAAUCACUGGGCGUAAAGGGAGCGUAGGCGGCGUGGUAAGUCAGAUGUGAAAUCCCGGGGCUCAACCCCGGAACUGCAUCCGAUACUGCCGUGCUAGAGGAUUGGAGAGGUAGCUGGAAUUCUUGGUGUAGCAGUGAAAUGCGUGGAGAUCAAGAGGAACACUCGUGGCGAAAGCGAGCUACUGGACAAUAUCUGACGCUGAGGCUCGAAGGCCAGGGUAGCGAAAGGGAUUAGAGACCCCCGUAGUCCCUGUCUCUUAUAA
rnacentral:rRNA from 1 species